CGUAGGGGACAAGCGUUAUCCGGAUUUACUGGGCGUAAAGCGCCCGUAGGCGGCCUGUCAAGUUGGACGUGAAAGCUCCUGGCUUAACUGGGAGAGGCCGUUCAAAACUGACAAGCUAGAGUCUGGAAGAGGAGCGUGGAAUUCCCGGUGUAGUGGUGGAAUGCGUAGAGAUCGGGAGGAACACCAGUGGCGAAAGCGACGCUCUGGUCCAAAACUGACGCUGAGGGGCGAAAGCGUGGGGAGCGAACGGGAUUAGAUACCCCGGUAGUCCACGCCGUAAACGAUGGAGACUAGGUGUAGGCGGAUAGAAAACCGUCUGUGCCGAAGCCAACGCGUUAAGUCUCCCGCCUGGGGAGUACGGCCGCAAGGUUA
rnacentral:rRNA from 1 species